GCCUACGGGGGGCAGCAGUGGGGGAUAUUGCACAAUGGGGGGAACCCUGAUGCAGCGACGCCGCGUGGGCGAUGGAGUGCUUCGGCAUGUAAAGCCCUAUCAGCAGGGAAGAAAAUGACGGUACCUGACUAAGAAGCCCCGGCUAAAUACGUGCCAGCAGCCGCGGUAAUACGUAGGGGGCAAGCGUUAUCCGGAUUUACUGGGUGUAAAGGGAGCGUAGGCGGCUGUGUAAGCCAGAAGUGAAAGCCCGAGGCUCAACCACGGGACUGCUUUUGGAACUACAUGGCUUGAUUGCAGGAGAGGCA
rnacentral:rRNA from 1 species